rnacentral:rRNA from 1 species
UUACGGAAGGCAGCAGUGGGGAAUCUUGGACAAUGGGCGCAAGCCUGAUCCAGCAAUGCCGCGUGGGUGAAGACGGCCUGCGGGUUGUAAAGCCCUUUUGGUGGGGACGAAGGCCCUGGGGUGAACAGACUCAGGGGGUGACGGUACCCGCCGAAGAAGCACCGGCCAACUCCGUGCCAGCAGCCGCGGUAAUACGGAGGGUGCGAGCGUUAAUCGGAAUUACUGGGCGUAAAGCGCAGGUAGGCGGUCGUGUCAGUCCGUUGUGAAAGCCCCGGGCUCAACCUGGGAAUGGCAAGGGAAACGGCACGACUGGAGUGGACCAGAGGACCGUGGAAUUCCCGGUGUAGCGGUGAAAUGCGUAGAGAUCGGGAAGAACACCGAUGGCGAAGGCAGCGGUCUGGGGUCACACUGACGCUGAGGGGCGACAGCGUGGGGAGCAAACAGGAUUAGAAACCCGUGUAGUCC